UCCUGGUUCAUAGGUCCAUGCUCAACCCCUGAGCCACGCCGGCCGGGUUCAGCCUCCUCUGCUUAGAAACCAGAAUAACAAUGCUGGUUCAACAAGAUGGGUGUAGGGCUGUUAACAGCAUGUUCAACACCUGGAAGGCAAUAAGAGAAGUCCCCGCCCUCAUUAGAAUCUUUCUGGAACCUGUUCCCACUCACCUCCCAGGAAUCAGCUCCGUGGUCACCCUCCUCCAAGAAGCCUUCCCGGAUUCGCACCUGCCAGCUGCGGGAGCCGCCCCUCCUCUGGCGCUGACUCACCGGGACUCACGUCUGUCAUCACCCUUAUCACAGGUGUUCCUGGAAAAUCAGGAGCUGCGGCACCAGCCGCCACCCCCACCCACAGCUGCCAGAGCGCCACCUCCAGGCAGGCAGGCAGGCACCCGGCUGCAGGCCCCGCCCAGCGUGGCAGCUCACACCCUCCGUCCCUCGAAUAGGCUGACCUACAAGCCUAUCUGCUCCAUCGGUCAUCACAGCCCCCCCAGCUGCAGCGCACACAAACCUGAGGAGAGGGCGGGUCUCGGGCAUCCCCCCUUUCUGACAAUAAAUGCUCAAUAAAUAUUAACCGUCCUGG